CAGGAAACAUGCUAGACAAAAUAAUCAUGUCCAGUCCUAGCUGGAAUUGCGUGUCUAACUGUAUGUACUUGCUAGACAUGUGAGUGAUAAUUGAAGGUAAAGAUUGAAAUGUGUUUGUAGUUUAGCUUAAGUUAAUAGCUAGAUGAGUAGCGUGCUGGUUUUCUGUUAGCGUAGACAACAAUAGAUUGUGUAACAUAUGGAGCUGUGCUGGG